rnacentral:rRNA from 1 species
GUGAGGAAUAUUGGUCAAUGGGCGGGAGCCUGAACCAGCCAAGUCGCGUGAAGGAAGAAGGAUCUAUGGUUCGUAAACUUCUUUUGCAGGGGAAUAAAGUGCAGGACGUGUCCUGUUUUGUAUGUACCCUGAGAAUAAGGAUCGGCUAACUCCGUGCCAGCAGCCGCGGUAAUACGGAGGAUCCGAGCGUUAUCCGGAUUUAUUGGGUUUAAAGGGUGCGUAGGUGGUUUGAUAAGUCAGCGGUGAAAGUUUGCAGCUUAACUGUAAAAAUGCCGUUGAAACUGUCGGACUUGAGUGUAAAUGAGGUAGGCGGAAUGCGUGGUGUAGCGGUGAAAUGCAUAGAUAUCACGCAGAACUCCGAUUGCGAAGGCAGCUUACUAAGCUACAACUGACACUGAAGCACGAAAGCGUGGGGAUCAAACAGGAUUAGAUACCCCAGUAGUAC